rnacentral:rRNA from 1 species
CGCGUGAAGCAGGUGGAUCCCUUCGGGGUGACACCUGUGGAUCGAGCGGCGGACGGGUGAGUAACACGUGGGCAACCUGCCUGUAAGACUGGGAUAACCCCGGGAAACCGGGGCUAAUACCGGGUAAUACCGGACUCCGCAUGGAGUCUGGUUGAAAGAUGGCUUCUUGCUAUCACUUACAGAUGGGCCCGCGGCGCAUUAGCUAGUUGGUGAGGUAACGGCUCACCAAGGCAACGAUGCGUAGCCGACCUGAGAGGGUGAUCGGCCACACUGGGACUGAGACACGGCCCAGACUCCUACGGGAGGCAGCAGUAGGGAAUCUUCCGCAAUGGACGAAAGUCUGACGGAGCAACGCCGCGUGAACGAUGAAGGUCUUCGGAUCGUAAAGUUCUGUUGUCAGGGAAGAACACGUACCGUUCGAACAGGACGGUACCUUGACGGUACCUGACGAGGAAGCCCCGGCUAACUACGUGCCAGCAGCCGCGGUAAUACGUAGGGGGCAAGCGUUGUCCGGAAUUAUUGGGCGUAAAGCGCGCGCAGGCGGUUCCUUAAGUCUGAUGUGAAAGCCCACGGCUCAACCGUGGAGGGUCAUUGGAAACUGGGGAACUUGAGUACAGAAGAGGAGAGUGGAAUUCCACGUGUAGCGGUGAAAUGCGUAGAUAUGUGGAGGAACACCAGUGGCGAAGGCGAC